rnacentral:rRNA from 1 species
CCUGGCUCAGAACGAACGCUGGCGGCGUGGAUAAGACAUGCAAGUCGAGCGAUGAUUACGGGGUAGCAAUAUCUCGUAGUUGGAGCGGCGCAAGGGUGCGUAACACGUGGGUAAUCUGCCAUGAAGUUUGGGAUAACUCGCUGAAAGGCGAGCUAAUACCGAAUGUGACGAUUGGAAGGCAUCUUCUGAUCUUCAAAGCUGGGGACCGUAAGGCCUGGCGCUUCAUGAUGAGCCCGCGGCCUAUCAGCUAGUUGGUGAGGUAACGGCUCACCAAGGCUAAGACGGGUAGCUGGUCUGAGAGGACGACCAGCCACACUGGAACUGAGACACGGUCCAGACACCUACGGGUGGCAGCAGUCGAGAAUUUUUCACAAUGGGGGAAACCCUGAUGGAGCGACGCCGCGUGGGGGAUGAAUGGCUUCGGCCCGUAAACCCCUGUCAUUCGCGAACAAAUUGGUUCACUUAAUACCUGAACCAUUAUAGUAGCGGAAGAGGUAAGGGACGGCUAAUUUCUGUC